rnacentral:rRNA from 1 species
AUACAUGCAAGUCGGACGGGAUCCAUUGAUAGCUUGCUAUCAAUGGUGUAGAGUGUGCGCACGGGUGCGUAUCGCGUGAGCAACCUACCUCCAUCUCGGGGAUAUCCUCUCUAAAGAGAGAUUAACACCGCAUAAAAUCUCCAGUUCUCAUGUGCUCUUGAUUAAAUAUUUAUAGGAUGGAGAUGGGCUCUCGUGAGAUUAUCUAUUUGGUAUGGUAACGGCUUACCAAGGGGACGAUGUCUAGGGGCUCUGAGAGGAGAAUCCCCCCACACUGGUACUGAGACACGGACCAGAUUCUUACGGGAGGCAGCAGUAAGGAAUAUUGGUCAAUGGGCGGAAGCCUGAACCAGCCAUGCCGCGUGCAGGAUGACUGCCCUAUGGGUUGUAAACUGCUUUUGUCCGGGAAUAAACCUCAUUACGAGUAUUUAGCUGAAUGUACUGGAAGAAUAAGGAUCGGCUAACUCCGUGCCAGCAGCCGCGGUAAUACGGAGGAUCCGAGCGUUAUCCGGAUUUAUUGGGUUUAAAGGGUGCGUAGGCGGCCUGUUAAGUCAGGGGUGAAAUACGGUGGCUCAACCAUCGCAGUGCCUUUGAUACUGAUGGGCUUGAAUCCAUUUGAAGUGGGCGGAAUAAGACAAGUAGCGGUGAAAUGCAUAGAUAUGUCUUAGAACUCCGAUUGCGAAGGCAGCUCACUAAGCUGGUAUUGACGCUGAUGCACGAAAGCGUGGGGAUCGAACAGGAUUAGAUACCCUGGUAGUCCACGCCCUAAACGAUGAUAACUCGAUGUUGGCGAUAGACAGCCAGCGUCUUAGCGAAAGCGUUAAGUUAUCCACCUGGGGAGUACGCCCGCAAGGGUGAAACUCAAAGGAAUUGACGGGGGCCCGCACAAGCGGAGGAGCAUGUGGUUUAAUUCGAUGAUACGCGAGGAACCUUACCCGGGCUUGAAAGUUAGUGAAGGUAGCAGAGACGCUACCGUCCUUCGGGACACGAAACUAGGUGCUGCAUGGCUGUCGUCAGCUCGUGCCGUGAGGUGUUGGGUUAAGUCCCGCAACGAGCGCAACCCCUAUGUUUAGUUGCCAGCAUGUCAUGGUGGGGACUCUAAACAGACUGCCUGCGCAAGCAGCGAGGAAGGUGGGGACGACGUCAAGUCAUCAUGGCCCUUACGUCCGGGGCUACACACGUGCUACAAUGGAUGGUACAGCGGGCAGCUAGCUGGCAACAGCAUGCUAAUCUCUAAAAGCCAUUCACAGUUCGGAUUGGGGUCUGCAACUCGACCCCAUGAAGUUGGAUUCGCUAGUAAUCGCGUAUCAGCAAUGACGCGGUGAAUACGUUCCCGGGCCUUGUACACACCGCCCGUCAAGCCAUGAAAGUUGG